AUGCUUUUGACCUUGCUCACCCCAUCAUCGUUGCCACAGAAGCCACUGUGCACGUCGUCCGUAGGAAGCACCAUUGGGAUCAAGAUCUUCAAGACGGUGCCCUCAAGAGGGGAAAUGACGCUGAAGACGAUGCCACAACCCGAUCCUACAACAAGAUCUUGGUUUUCACCUAAAGGGCUUGAUCCGGGAGUAGGGCUGCAAAGAUCCCUGACGACGCCUCCAAGGAGGAUAACGACGCCCACGGGCGCCGUCGCCGCCGGCCGGCGAGCACCGGCCAGGCUUUCACCCGGAGCAACCAUUCCCACGCAGUCGACCAAAGGCCGACAGGUACCUCCACUGGACCGCACACCCCCAAUGCGGCGAGCACGCCAACGCUGCACGGGGCCACCACCAUCCUCUACGCCGAGCCUGCAGAAACCAGAUCGGGCCCUGCACCCCACGCAACCACCACAACCGGAGCCUCCCUGCUCCAGGCAUCCACCACGGCCGGAGCCUUCGCUCCAGGCAUCCACCACGGCCAAAGCCUCCCUGCUCCAGGCAGUGACAUCCGGGCACCACUAA
rnacentral:rRNA from 1 species